AAAUCCUCCCCUUGUGUAUAUAAAUAUCAAAUAGAAUAGUUCAAAGGGAGCAUCCAAUAUCCAGAUCACUGAAAGUUAAAAAGAGGUAGCUAGCAAAGCAGAUGGGUUUGAGGGUGAGGCAUCAUUUAUCUUCAUCAUCUGCUCACUUUUGCCUCUUUGUCAUCUUCAUUUUCCUUUGCUUUCCUUUCUACGAUGCUCAAAAUGCUACUACUGAUCCAUCUGAAGUGAGGGCAUUGAACUUGCUAUUAGGGGGAUGGGAUGCACAAGCUGUGGCACUGUGGAACAUAAGUGGAGAACCUUGCAGUGGAUCUGCCAUUAAUGCUACAGAUUUUAAGGACGGAGACAACAAUCCAGCGAUCAAGUGUGAUUGUUCCUACAACAACAAUAAUACAUGCCAUAUCACCCAAUUGAGAGUUUAUGCUUUGCAAAAAAGGGGAACAAUCCCAGAAGUAAUUGUGGCUUUGAAAUAUUUGACUUUGCUGAAUAUUGAUCAAAAUUACUUCACAGGUCCCUUGCCUGCAUAUAUUGGAAAUUUAUCAUCAUUGAAGACUUUGUCCAUCGCUCAUAAUGCAUUUUCUGGGAGCAUUCCAAAGGAAAUUGGAAAUCUUAAGGAGCUAACCUCAUUGUCAAUAGGAGAAAAUAACUUCAGUGGAACACUCCCUCCAGAAAUAGGCAAUCUUGUCAAACUCGAGGAACUUUAUAUUAACAGCUGUGGAGUGGGUGGUGAAAUUCCCUCAACAUUUGCCAAUCUUAAAAGCAUGAGAGUCUUGUGGGCAUCAGACUCUGCGUUCUCAGGCAAGAUACCUGAAUUCAUAGGGAAUUGGACAAAGCUUCAACAAUUGAGAUUUCAGGGGAAUUCUUUUAAAGGUCCCAUACCAUCCAGCUUUUCUAAUUUGACAUCUUUGGAUUCCUUGCGAAUUAGUGAUAUGCACAAUGUGAGUUCAACUCUUGAUUUUAUCAAGAAUUUGAAGAGUUUGUCUGAAUUGUAUCUGAGGAAUGCAUUGAUCAGUGACACUAUUCCAUCUGACAUUGGAGAAUAUACAAGAUUACAAAGGCUGUAAGUUAUAGCCAUAAUAAAGAACCUUAACUUGCAAAAUCUUUACUGAAAUUUAGUUAUAUAUCUAAGAUUUAUUUUGAUGAUUGAUAUUUCAAAUCAAGGUAGAGUAAAUGUUUUUUCAAAGAAAAAUUAUAAACCACUAACAAUUCAAAUAUAUAUCUCAUCAUUUCAAAGACUUGUUUCAAUUUUUUUUAUAAGCAUAAUUUUUAUUAAUAUAUAAUGAGAAAAAACUUAACAUGGGAUCAUCUAGCUAGACCUAGAUCAAUCGAAUUACCCAUACAAAUCUCACUUAAGACGAAUCAUGUUAAGUGAAAAAACAUGGUAGGAAAUACAUCAAAACAUGGCCAAAGGAAAAGGAAGAUAAGCCAAGUAGACAAGCAUCUAGUGAAAAGAUAAGGACAGCAAGUUACAAGCCAAAAAGCAACCAGCCUGAUGCAGAACCUGUUAUAAAUAUGCAAUGAAAUCAAGUUAUAAAUCUCAUUUCAUUUGUUUGACUUCUUUUUGUCUAAAUGCUUGCAGGGAUUUUAAGUUUCAACAACUUAACGGGCCCAAUUCCAAGUUCUUUGUUCAAUAUGAGUUCUCUUGAAUCCUUGUUUCUUGGAAACAAUAGCCUAUCUGGAAACCUUCCUAAUCAGAAAAGUAAUACUCUUCAGACUAUGUAAGUCCUCAUACUAAGCUUAGGAAGUUUUUAUAUCUUUAACAUACUCCUAUAUGAAAUUCAUUAAUAAAUAUAUAUUCAUUUUAUCGUGUAUUUAAAUUUAUUUAGCAAUAAUGCACUCAGAAUUCAAACUCUAUGAUUGUGUUUAUAAAUGCUCUGCUAAUAUGUCAAAGAACCACUCAAGUUAAGCUUGAACCUACAAUGGAGGCCAAUGAUAGAUUUAAUAAUUUAUUACAAGCCUUCUCACCAUUGCUAAUAAAUUUUUUCAUGCAGAGAUUUAUCUUACAAUUAUCUUUCAGGAAGUUUUCCUUUAUGGGUAUCCUCCAAUCUACAAUUGUAUGUGUCCCUAAUCAUGCAAUCAUCUUAAUUUUUUUGGGAUUAGCUAUAUAAUUGCUUGAAGCCUUAUCUCUGAUCACCAAAUUGUCAUGUUUCGUCAUCUUUGCAUCUUAACCAUUGCAUGAAACUAUGCAGGAAUUUAGUGCCAACAAUUUCACAUUUGACAGCUCAAACAUAAGGUGGAUUCCCCUUCAUUAGAUAAUUAGUUAAUUAUUCAAUCUAUAAUUAAUAUUGUAAAUUAAGAAAAAGCAAAGCUAUUACAGUGUUACGUUUAGAAUUGAAUAUAUUUACUUUUACAUUUUCCAAUUUUAAUAAAUAAUAGUAUUAAAUUUCUUAUAAUGCAGUGUUUUACCACAACUGAACUGUCUGCAGAGAAAUUUUCCUUGCAAUAGAGAUCUUCCACGCUAUGCAAAUUUUGCAAUCAAGUGUGGUGGUCCAGAGAGGAAAACUAGUGACGGAAUAGUGUUUGAAGCUGAAAACUCAUCUCUAGGUGCAGCAUCCUUCAAUGUGACUAGCAGUGAAAAAUGGGCAGUCAGUAACGUGGGUUUGUUUACUGAUAGAAUUAAUCCAGCUUACGUUGAAAAUACAUUGGCACAAGUGACUAGCACCAAUGCUCCAGAGCUUUAUCAAACUUCAAGGAUAUCUCCAAGUUCACUUAGGUACUAUGGCCUUGGUCUUGAGAAUGGAAAUUACACCAUUAGCUUGUUCUUUGCAGAAACUGCAUUCGACGAUCGAAGCUCACAAACUUGGGAGAGUCUAGGAAGACGCAUUUUCGACAUCUAUAUCCAAGGAAGUCUCCGAUUGAAGGACUUUGACAUAUCAAAGGAAGCAGGGGGGGUUAGGAAGGCAUUUGUAAGCAAAUUUAAUGCUACUGUAUCAGAAAACUAUCUUGAAAUUCACCUAUUUUGGGCUGGAAAGGGAACUUGCUGCACCCCUGUACAAGGGUAUUAUGGACCAAUCAUUUCAGCACUCAGUGUUGUUCCAGAUUUUAUGCCUACUGUUAGUGGGAUACCGCCACAUACUCGUAAAGAGAAGGAAAAAACAGGGUUGAUUGUUGGUGUUACUCUCUCUGCUGCAAUUGUAGGCUUUAUUUUGUUGUUUGCGUUUCUUUACUUCAACGGAAAAACGAGGAAAGAUGACGAGGAUGUGUUUGUUGGGAUUGAUUAUAAACCCAACACAUUUAGCUAUGCUGAAUUGAGAACAGCCACAGAAGACUUUAGCCCUUCAAAUAAGUUAGGAGAGGGAGGAUUUGGACCUGUGUACAAGGGUACGCUUUUUGAUGGAAGAGAAGUGGCGGUUAAGCAACUUUCAGUAGAAUCAAGCCAAGGAAAUAGUCAAUUUAUAACUGAGAUAGCUACCAUAUCUGCUGUUCAACAUCGCAAUCUUGUCAAAUUAUAUGGAUGUUGCAUUGAAGGAAAUAGACGCCUGUUGGUCUAUGAAUAUCUUCAGAACAAAAGCCUUGACAAGGCACUCUUUGCAAAAAAUAGCUUUCAGCUUGAUUGGCCAACCCGCUUCAAUAUAUGCAUUGGAACUGCAAAAGGAUUAGCUUAUCUUCAUGAAGAGUCAAGGCCAAGGAUUGUACAUAGAGAUGUGAAGGCAAGUAAUAUUUUGAUUGAUGCAGAACUCUGCCCCAAAAUAUCUGAUUUUGGACUGGCAAAGCUCUAUGAUGAUAAGAAAACCCAUAUCAGCACUCGAAUUGCAGGCACCAUAGGGUAUUUGGCACCUGAGUAUGCAAUGCGUGGACAUUUGACAGAGAAGGCUGAUGUCUUUAGUUUUGGAGUUGUUGCUUUAGAGAUUCUGAGUGGAAGGCCAAACUCUGAUAAUAGCUUAGCCAAGGAACAAAUUUAUCUUCUUGAAUGGGCAUGGAGUUUGCAUGCAAAUAACCAAAGUUUGGCACUAGUGGAUCCAAACUUAACUGAUUUGGAUGAAAAUGAAGCUCUUAAGGUCAUAGGGGUUGCUCUCUUGUGUACUCAAGGCUCACCAAUGAUGAGACCAACAAUGUCACGUGUUGUAGGCAUGCUUGCUGGAGAUAUCGAAGUGAAUGCUAUAGUAUCAAAGCCAAGCUAUUUGACUGAUUGGGAUUUUAAGGAUAUAACCUCUAGCUUUUCAAAUCAAGAUUCUACUAAAUCCAUUGAAGCUGAAAGUAGCAAAAACAACAAUAAUAAUACAGGGGUUGAUACAAUGGAUACUCCAUUAAAUCUCACUGUGUCUAGCCUCACUGAUCUUAUUGGGGAAGGAAGGUGAUAAUUGGUAUAUAUGCUAUUUCUAAAAUUUGCAUCUUCUUGUUGUUGAAUAAAAUUCCUCUCUUCCAUUUCUUGUAUAUAUGUUACAAUUUUGAGAGUGAAUAACUGAAUAUGAUUUUUGUAUAUGUAGUCUAAUAUGGAAAGUUCAUGUUUGCUUCAAUUUAAACUUUUAAGUUAGAAUAUAUCUUAUAUAUACUUCGAUUUUUUUUUUUAAUAAAAAGACUAUUAAA
rnacentral:misc_RNA from 1 species